AAGGACAAUUAAAUGGCCGCGGUAACUCUGACCGUGAUAAUGUAGCGUAAUCAAUAGCCAAUUAAUUGUUGGCCAGUAUGAAUGGCGUCACGAAGGCCCCGCUGUCUUAAGCAAACACCCAGUGAAAUUGAACUCGUAGUGAAGAUGCUACGCCAGAAUUGUUAGACGAAAAGACCCCGUUGAGCUUUACUGGCAUACUUUUUUUGCCCGAUCUUUAGUAUUGGAUGGGAGGUUUAGAAUAUGUGGCCUCUCACCCCCUUCAAUACUUACCUAAGGUAGGUAUUAUAAUCUCUCCGAGAUUGCCCCUAGGGUAAUCUCUCCGAGAUUUAAGGGGGGAAUUAAAACAAAUUAUAUGAAAACCCACUCCCCCAUUCCAAUAGGGCUUUCACCCUUAAGUGCUCAAAUAGGGUGCUGGGGGGACAAUAAAAGUAGGACAGUUUGGUUGGGGCGACCGCCUUUUAAAAAGUAACGAAGGUGACCAGAAGGUAGAGACUUUUAUGACAGAACUGCCUGACUGUGAGGGCCACAACCCGAGCAGACACUCUCUCUAAAUUAAUCUCCAAGAGUUUUACUAUAAUUAUGGGUAGAGUUCAAAGAGAAUUAAUAUAAUAAAACAAUUGAGUGGGGCAUAGUGACCCGUUGGUUUAGCGUGAUAAAUUAGCCAACGAUCA
rnacentral:rRNA from 1 species